AUUGAACGCUGGCGGUAUGCUUAACACAUGCAAGUCGAACGAUGAGAAAGAGCUUGCUCUUUCGAUUAGUGGCGGACGGGUGCGUAACGCGUAGGAAUCUACCUAUUAGUGGGGGACAACUUCGGGAAACUUAAGCUAAUACCGCAUACGCCCUACGGGGGAAAGAAGGGGAUCGCAAGACCUUUUGCUAAUAGAUGAGCCUGCGUAGGAUUAGCUAGCUGGUGGGGUAAAAGCUCACCAAGUCGACGAUCCUUAACUGGUUUGAGAGAAUGAUCAGUCACACUGGAACUGAGACACGGUCCAGACUCCUACGGGAGGCGGCAGUGGGGAAUAUUGGACAAUGGGCGAAAGCCUGAUCCAGCGAUACCGCGUGUGUGAAGAAGGCCUUAGUGUUGUAAAGCACUUUCAAUUGGAAGGAAAACCUCGAAGCUAAUACCUUCGAGUUUGACAUUACCUUUAGAAGAAGCACCGGCUAACUCCGUGCCAGCCGCCGCUGUAAGAC
rnacentral:rRNA from 1 species